UGUGUACCCGUGUGCGUGCGUGUGUGCGCGCGCGUGCUCGCGCGUGUGCAUGUAUGUAUGUAUGUAUGUAUGUAUGCGCGUGCGUCUGUGUAUUUUGAAUUUAAAAUGUUUUAACUCGGAAGGAUCUGGAUCACAGGUCAUUUCAUCUGAGAUCAAUCCGCACGCAACAGCUGGAAUCACUUACUGUUUCACACAAGGAAGGACACAAGUCAGCCGUUUCCUCAAGUUCACGUCAGAGCGGAGAUGAUGUGAGAGGCAGACCCGAGACAUAGCGAGACAGUCUCCGCUUGGACUGGCUGAGGAAAGUCUCCUAAAUGGCCCUGGAGAUGUUCUGACUGACUUUGGAGGCUUUUUGGACUGUUUUAUGCCCUCUAUUUAAAGAAGACUUAAUUCUGUAUGUUCAGUCUGUAUGAUAAGUGAAUAAGUGAAUAAAAAGCUUUUGUUUUUAUGUGA